rnacentral:lncRNA from 1 species
CCUAAUUAUUGUGGUUUGCCCGAUCCCUGGUUGGCAAAUGUCUGUCCCGACCCUUGAUCAAAGGCUAUGCUGUCUGACCUCUCAUUGGCAUGUUCUUGAUCCGACUUCUGAUCUAAAAGAGCUAGUCGAAGUGCAUACCUUAAACAGUGCAAUCACAUGAUUGAUUAUGACUCGUCCGACUCCUAGUCGGCAUGUGCCUAGUUCGACCCCUAAUCGGCCAAACUUUGAUCCGACCCCUAGUCGGAUGGUUUUUUGUCCGAAUCUUGGAUGGAAAAGAUUUGGUUCGACCUUUGAUCAGAGAAUUUGUUGGUCGAUCUCCAGUCGCAUCCGAUCCCUACUUGGCUUGCAUAUCGGAAUAAUUUUUGGUCAGCAUAACAACUGCGAGUCGACUAGUCUUUCGAUCAAUCCAUCUAACCGAGUUUUGAUCGAAAAACUAUCAGUCCCAACUUCUAGUCGGUUGGUAACUGGCUCCAAACCUU